rnacentral:rRNA from 1 species
UUGGAGGGCAAGUCUGGUGCCAGCAGCCGCGGUAAUUCCAGCUCCAAUAGCGUAUAUUAAAGUUGUUGCAGUUAAAAAGCUCGUAGUUGAAUUUCGGGAUCAGUACGUUGGUCGUGCCUUAGGUACGUACUGGUGUUACUGGUUCCUACCUUCUGACGAACCAUCAUGUCAUUCAUUUGGUGUGGCGGGGAAUCAGGACUGUUACUUUGAAAAAAUUAGAGUGUUUAAAGCAGGCUCGCGCUUGAAUACAUUAGCAUGGAAUAAUGAAAUAGGACGUUGAUCCUAUUUUGUUGGUUUCUAGGAUUGACGUAAUGAUUAAUAGGGAUAGUUGGGGGCAUUAGUAUUCAAUUGUCAGAGGUGAAAUUCUUGGAUUUAUUGAAGACUAACUACUGCGAAAGCAUUUGCCAAGGAUGUUUUCAUUAAUCAAGAACGAAAGUUAGGGGAUCGAAGACGAUCAGAUACCGUCGUAGCCUUAACCAUAAACUAUGCCGACUAGGGAUCGGAUGAUGUUAUUUUUAAUGACUCAUUCGGCGCCUUACGGGAAAC